GCCAGAGGAGGCGAGCGUUAUCCGGAGUCAUUGGGCGUAAAGAGUACGUAGGCGGCUGGUUGAGUCUGUGGUUAAAGUAUACAGCUUAACUCUGUGAAGGCCUUGGAAGCUAAAUGGCUAGAGUGGGGUAGGGGUUGCGGGAAUUCCCGGUGUAGCGGUGAAAUGCGGAGAUAUCGGGAAGAACACCUGAGGCGAAAGCGCGCAUCUGGGCCCUAACUGACGCUGGGGUACGAAAGCUAGGGGAGCGAAUGGG
rnacentral:rRNA from 1 species